GACGAACGCUGGCGGCGUGCCUAAUACAUGCAAGUCGAACGCAGUUUCGAACGGGUGAGUAACGCGUCGGUAACUGCCUCAUAGCGGGGGAUAACUAUUGGAAACGAUAGCUAAUACCGCAUACUGUGAGAUGGACCUGCGUUGUAUUAGCUAGUUGGUGAGGUAAAGGCUCACCAAGGCGACGAUACAUAGCCGAACUGAGAGGGAGAUCGGCCAACACUGGAAUGGGACACGGGCCAGACCCCUACGGGAGGCAGCAGUAGGGGAUCUUUGGCAAAGGACGGAAGGCUGACCGAGCAAAGCCGCGGGAGUGGAGAAAGUUUUCGGAGCGUAAAGCUCUGUUGAUAGAGAAGCGGUACCUACACAGAAAGCGACGGCUAACUACGUGCCAGCAGCCGCGGUAAUUC
rnacentral:rRNA from 1 species